AAAAGAGAUUAAAAAAUCACAAAAGAGAAAAUGUUUCAACAAAAUAGAAUAGUGUAUUGUAGUAUUUACAAUAUACUAUCUUUAUAUAUAAAAAAGGACAAAUUUCUAAAAUAGCACAUUUCUAAAGUUUAUAUCACAAAAAUAGCACUCAAAAACUAAAAUGACCAAAAUAGCAUUUUAUCUUUUGAAAAAUUUAAAUUUUUUUAUUUUUCAAAAUUUGAAAUCUUAUCCCCAAAACUUCAAUUCUCAACUCUAAACCCUAAACUCUAAACUCUAAACCCUAAACCCUAAACCCUAAACUCUACUCCUUGAGUGCUAUUUUUGUGACUUUUGGCCUUGAAUGCUAGUUUGGGAACAAAAACUUGAUUUAGUGCUAUUUUGAUCUUUUUCUCUAUAAAAAAAAGACUUUCGAUCACUACGACGGGUCCAGUUCGAAUGACACGUCAUCAAUUCGGUCAUCAUCAGCGCGACAUGUGUCCCAUCUUUUUUAAACACUGCGUUUCAUUAAACAUUUUGUGGGCUAUGUUAUGUGGGCUUUUUGUUCAACUCAUCUAUUUGUCCAAAAGCGAGAAACUUUAUAAGGUUCAUACUCCUUUUUGAUCUUAGAUGACUACGAUGUUCUUAUACGUUCUCUCGAACCAACAACGGAGUUUUGACAGAUUCAGUGUCUAAAAUCGGCGUAAAUAAUCUCUUCGUGUGUCUUCAAUCGCGUCGUUUAGUCUUUUAUUCUAAUCAACCGAAACAGUGAGAAAGCCGAAAAGAAAGCUGCAAAACGUUACCGAAUGAUGAUGAACCCAAGCGUCGUAUUAAACGAAUCUUUGACUAUAAUAAGGUACUUCAUUUCCUGUGAAAAUCAUCUUAUCCUAUCCUCUCAAGCAUAAGCCAUUGUAACUCCUUUGUCGAGGUACGUCUUUCUCUUGCGACGAUCAUUGAAUCCCAUCACAACCUCCAUCUUGGACAAGCUAUUCUCUGUUUGGGAGACGCUACAUGCCGUUGUCUAGGUUUCCCUUUCCUAAACAAAUCCAGGUUCGAUAUUUCUUCAUGUUUCUUUCAAAUCCGUACGAGCUUGAAGAUUGGCUAUAAGAAGGAAGCAAAUUAUGGGGGGAUUUUUUCAAAUCCCAUUUCAUGAAGAAGAGGUCUCGAGGAUGUAGAAUCAGUGAGCUCAACGGUUUUGCAUGCUAAGAAGUUAGCUCAACAAAUGGAGAAUAUACACAUAAGGAUAGUUCUCUGGUCAAGUUUGUCUCUUCUUUUUCAAAUGAAGAGGUUCAGUUCGCUUGCUCAAUUCAAAACUAUAUUAUGCGUCUAGGUGUUCACAUGUCUACUGGCUAUUGGAAGAGCUGUUUUGUGUGUUUACAAAGGACUCUGCUGCUAGAGACGAUGUUUUGUAUAUGAAGAGUAAUGAGGUUGAGUGCACUGGGUUGGAGAAGGAGAUGAUGAGGAGAAAGCUUAAAGCUUGGAAGAAAAUGGAAGUACCUGAGAAAUGUAUCUUGGAAGUUUUGCAGGAGGGUUUGGAGAAGCUAUUGGUGCCGUAUGAGAAACCUAAUUUUGAUAGUGAAGAGCUUAUGAGUAGUAUAUAUAACGUCGAGGUUCCGGUGAAGAAGUUGGAACUCUGUUGAAUCUAUGGACUUUGAUGAUAAGAUCUAUGAAAUCAAAGCAAUGGAUCAACAAGCCCGAAAUAGAAGCUGGUUAAGCAGGAGUACUUUUGGGAAGCUGUUUCUGAACAGACAAGAAAUAUCUAGAUCUCGGAUAAUAUGCCUAUGGAAAGAUCAAGCUGCAAGGAAUUCAUAGAAUGAUACCGUGUUCAAAUCAGAGGUAAAAUCCAUCCAGAAAUCUAUUCGAAAGUUGAUGAAAAGUUUUAUGUUUCUCUGGUCCAAAAACCUGCAGUUUUGCCUUUUAACUACUUUGGAUGUGGUUUCCCGCAAGAUAUAAGGAAAUUAUAUCACGAUAAAGUUAUAUAUGGAAAGAUCCCAUUGCAGAGAGUUCAUUGGAUCAAUUGAAUUAUGAAUAGACGUUAUAAACAAUUCGUACAUCACCUUCAAAGUUGGGCCAAAAUCAUCUGAAUCUGCAGAAAUAGAGAAAACUGUUUUGUAACAACAUUUUUAAGAAGAAACUCUCUCCAAGAGGGUGGCGCUAUCAUAGUUUAAAUCAUUAUGCUUACCUUGACAUUUCUUGGUCUCGGGAAGUCACAAUUCUGCAUCCUUUGUAAUGUUUUUAAGUUUUCAAAGUUUCUUCAUGAAGAUCAUUGUUUACACGUGAGUAUAAACUUUGGAAUAUUCUUUGUGAUUUUUUAGAUGGAUUUUGGUCUGUUACAUUCAUCUUGAGCGGAACAUUUCUUUUGCUACAGAACGGUAAACACACUCUCCUUAUAAAGAAAAUACUUUUUCAUGGUCUUAUUGAAAAUUUGAUAUAACAGAUGGUUUGUAUGUGAGGUGACAAAGGAGGAAGAAGAAUGUGUUGCAGUGAAGAAGAAGAAUGUGUUUCAGGUGAAGAAGAAGAGAGAGAAGCAUAGAAGUAGUGUGUGUUGAUGAUUCUCUACCUGGAAACUUUUUUUAGUUGUAAGCAGUUUUCAGAUGAAGUCAUUGUAUUAUUGUUUACAUUUCACUUUACAGCCAAAAUAAGUUUCAACAACAUAGUUUACCAAACUUAAAACUUAGGUGAACAAUAUAGUUUUUUCAAGAUUACGAUCAUUUGGAUGUUUUAGUUUUUUUUUUAAGAUUAUAAUUCUUUUGGAUG